ACUCCCUGGGCCUCGCCUCCGAUUUCCCGAUGUACCACAACAGUAGCCAGAAGAGGCACUGGACUUUCGCCAGCGAGGAGCAGCUGGCGCGGUUGCGGGCUGACGCCAACCGCAAAUUCAAAUGCAAAGCGGUGGCGAACGGGAAGAUUCUUCCAAAUGACCCCGUCUUUCUUGAGCCUCACGAAGAAAUAACGCUCUGCAAAUAUUAUGAGAAAAGAUUAUUGGAAUUCUGUUCGGUGUUCAAGCCAGCAAUGCCAAGAUCUGUUGUGGGUACAGCUUGUAUGUAUUUCAAGCGCUUUUAUCUUAAUAAUUCAGUAAUGGAAUAUCACCCCCGGAUAAUAAUGCUCACUUGUGCAUUUUUGGCUUGCAAAGUAGAUGAAUUCAAUGUAUCUAGUCCACAGUUUGUUGGAAAUCUGCGGGAGAGCCCUCUUGGACAAGAGAAAGCACUCGAACAGAUUCUGGAAUAUGAACUGCUUCUUAUACAGCAACUUAAUUUCCACCUUAUUGUCCACAAUCCUUAUAGACCCUUUGAGGGCUUUCUCAUUGAUUUAAAGACUCGCUAUCCCCUGUUGGAGAAUCCAGAGAUUUUGAGGAAAACAGCUGAUGACUUUCUUAAUAGAGUUGCAUUGACGGAUGCUCACCUUUUAUACACACCUUCCCAGAUUGCUCUGACUGCCAUUUUAUCGAGUGCAUCCAGAGCAGGAAUUACUAUGGAAAGUUAUUUAUCAGAAAGUCUGAUGCUCAAGGAGAACAGAACUUCCUUGUCCCAAUUACUAGAUAUAAUGAAAAGCAUGAGGAACUUGGUAAAAAAAUACGAACCACCCAGACCUGAAGAAGUUGCUGCUCUGAAACAGAAGCUGGAGAGGUGUCACUCUGCUGAGCUUGCACUUAAUGUAGUUACGUUAAAUCCCUGUGUAUACCUCGUUUUUCACCUGUCUGCUGUGAUCGUUGAUCUGUGAUUCUUUGCUGAUACAGUCAGCCCUCUGGAUGCAGAGCACCACUGUACCAUUGCCAUUUUAUAUAAGGGACUUGAGCAUGUGAGGAUUUGGGUAUUCUAGGGGUUCCUGGAACCAGUCCCCCUCAGAUAUCAAGGGACAACUGUGCCACAUUUUUAAUUACCAUAGUUUACAAAUAUAGGUGUAUAUUUUGAUGUCGUGAAGGACAAAAUCCCCCUUGCUUUGUUUUCAGAUUCUUUUGCUAAUCUUUCCCAGGUCCGAGUUUGACUUGGUAAGUCCACAAGUCAUUGUUUUUGGAGUGUAACUAGAAUUGCAUUGAAUUCAGAGAGUAAUUUGAAAGAGUUUUCCUAUCCGAACUUUUCACCUCUUUCCAUUUAUCCAGGCUUUGGUCUUCAGUAAAUAUAUCUCAUAGCCUUGCUAACUUAUUCUGUUGCCCAUAUUAGAUUGUUUAUUGAUGGCUGCUUAAUUAUAGGAAGAAGAGAAAAGGUUACGAAGAUGAUGAUUAUGUUUCAAAGAAAUCCAAACAUGAGGAGGAAGAAUGGACUGACGAUGACCUGGUAGAUUCUCUCUAGCCAUUUGAAAUUGAUUUGUCAGUGCUAACUAAUCAUCAGAUGGAUGAAGCAUGUCUGGCAUUUAACUUUAUUUGUGAAAGCAUCAAAAUAUAUUAAACUUUUCUAUUUAUGUUAUUUAAAAUUUUUUCCUUUCAGGGUAGCUUUAUGUGAAAUAAAACAUCUUCAAAGGAGCCAGAGUAACACCAGGUUUGGGUAACCUUAACCCAUCAUGAUUGAUAACAAAUUAAAGCUGUAAUUUGCCAAUGUUGUUUUAUAUAAAGUGUCAUAAUCUAAAA